UCCCUGGAGGACUAGUUGCUAGGCCAUGGCGUAACCUCUCACCACUGCGGCCCGGGUUCGAUUCCUGGCCAGGGAA